rnacentral:rRNA from 1 species
GCAGUAGAGAAUAUUGUGCAAUAUACGGCAGUAUGACACAGAGAGCACACGCCCUCUUGGCCUGUCCAACUAAGUGCCAGCAGACGCGGUUAGACUUAGGGGCCAAGCCUUUAUGAGCAAAGGGGCGUAAAGGGUGUGUAGGCCGACUGCCCCACCCCCCNAAGGUGGUAAAUGGAAUUUUUCUGUAGCGGUAGAAUGUGCGGAUAGAAAAUAGAACUCCAAAAGCUGAAGCAAUUUACCGCGGGGUGGGAGGGGGGCCCCCUGGGGCGCCCCCCGGGCUACGGGCUGAAACACGAGGGUGUGGGGAACAAACAGGAUUAGAGACCCUGGUAGUCCACACUGUAAACGAUGGAGAAAAUGCGAAUGCAGUCCCGAAAGGCAGCAAUCUCCCGCCUGAGUAGUACGAUCGCAAGAUUAAAAUUCAAAAAAUUUGGCUGUUCACCGUUUCAAUUAGAGGAGCGUGUAGUUUAAUUCGAUAAACCGCGAGAUACCUUACCCAAACUUGAAUCCUUGAGGAUUCUAAGGAAUCCUUAUGGACCGGUAUUGCAUGGCCGUCGUCAGUUCGUGUAUGAAACUUAAAACGGACCCAACCCGAAGAUUAACCGCGGAUGAAGUCAGGUCUUAUGGUCCCAAUGUUUGGGGAUAAUAUGCGCUACAUUUUCUUAUACAAUGGGAAACCUGGGAGGUGAAACCCCAAAGUGAGAGUUCGGUAGGCUAUUGGAAGAUGGSCSRAAGUUGAAUUUAAUAGUAAUCGGAAAGUAUAGCGUUCCGGUGAAAUGGUCUAGGUGUUAGCACAAAUCGCCCGUCACCUUAACUUAGGAUGAUGGUUCGGACGCCGCCGCGCCCCCACGGGCCCC